UACGGAGGGUGCGAGCGUUGUCCGGAAUUAUUGGGCGUAAAGAGCUCGUAGGCGGUCUGUCGCGUCCGUUGUGAAAACUCGAGGCUCAACCUCGGGCUUGCAGUGGAUACGGGCAGACUAGAGUGCGGUAGGGGAGACUGGAAUUCCUGGUGUAGCGGUGGAAUGCGCAGAUAUCAGGAGGAACACCGAUGGCGAAGGCAGGUCUCUGGGCCGCAACUGACGCUGAGGAGCGAAAGCAUGGGGAGCGAACAGG
rnacentral:rRNA from 1 species